GUUAUAAAAAGGUAAAAUCAGAUUCUACUUUAUUCAUCAAUAUCGAAAAAUUAUGGGUGAAAUUAUCAAGUUCGUUUAUAUUAUGAUCAUUUUUAUAUUUCUAUUCUCUGUUACAGUGAAUGUUAAUGCUGAAACUAUGCAAUGUAUUGAAGACUCUGAUUGUCCACUACUUUAUUGUCCAAAAUUUCUUGUAGUAGCGUGUGUUAAGCUCAGAUGCAAAUGUAUUGUGUAGUAAAAAAAAAGAAAUUUUUAUGAUUGGCCAUGACUUCAAGAUUUGAUUGCCUACAAAAUACGUGUUUGUUUGAGUUAAAUUAUUGUCAUUUAAUUAUUGUAUUAGCUAUUUAUAUUAAUUGUCAUAAUUUGUGUAAUAUGUUUUUUCAACUCAAAAUAUAACAUGAAUUGAUUAAAGUCAGUUAUAAUAAUUUAAAAUAAGAGUUUAUUCUACAUUCGGAUUAUCACAAGAACCAUAACAAUAUAAAGUUAUUUGUUAAAGAACCAUAUUAAAGACUAAAUAAUCGGUGUCAUUUGCAUGCUAAGCACAAGAAUAUGAUGGUUCAUUAAUUUGUGAAAUCAUUGCUUCAAAGUCUGUUAUCAAAUAUCUGACAUAUUUCAAUAUUAUGUUAUUCAUUCAAGCCAGAUUGUAUAACCAAAGAGUAUGAAUUUG